rnacentral:rRNA from 1 species
AGCGGCGGACGGGUGAGUAACGCGUAGGCAACCUGCCCCAUACAGAGGGAUAGCCUCGAGAAAUCGGGAUUAAAACCUCAUAAUGCCAUCGAGUCACAUGGCUCUUUGGCCAAAGAUUUAUCGGUAUGGGAUGGGCCUGCGUCUGAUUAGCUAGUUGGUGAGGUAACGGCUCACCAAGGCUGCGAUCAGUAGCAGAACUGAGAGGUUCAUCNGCCACAUUGGAACUGAGACACGGUCCAAACUCCUACGGGAGGCAGCAGUGAGGAAUAUUGCACAAUGGGCGAAAGCCUGAUGCAGCAACGCCGCGUGAGCGAUGAAGGCCUUUGGGUCGUAAAGCUCUGUCCUUGGGGAAGAAACAAAUGACGGUACCCUGGAGGAAGCCCC